rnacentral:lncRNA from 1 species
UGAUGAACAAUCCUCUUCUAGGCCCAAUUAGGGACACUAAUUUGUCCACUGGGCCUAAAUGAGAAGCCACUCUGUGAGCUAUCAGGCAGGAGAGGAAAAGGCUCAGACCUAGGAUGAAAAUAAUAUAGUUAGAUGCUUAUUUCAUUUUAUUUUAAUUUUACCUUUGUCAUGAAUUAAACUUCCUUGAGGUGCAUAGAUUUGGAGAGUUUUCUUCUUAAAAGCUACCUGCUCAGUAGGUGAGUUCUCUGGUCUGUCAUAGCCACAAAUGAUUUGAUUUUGUUUGGUUCACAGGAACUGAAGAUAAUCUACAUAGAGAAGUAAAUUCUCAGUAGCUGCCUUACAAGUUUAAGAGUGUGGAGUGGAUGAAUUUAGGUUCCCCCAUUAAGUUUUUGGGGUGGUUUUUUUUUGGUAUUCCUAAUGUUUUCUGCAAUACUUAAGCUUCCAUUUAAACAAAAUUAAUUUUCUAGCUUUGAAGAGUGUGAACCAAUUCAGUACUGCCUUUCUGAGUCUGCAGGCAGACUGACAAAGAUAGCACUAAGAGCUAUAAACAGCACCAUUCAUAUGAACUAAUUUAAGUCUGAAACCUCAACAUGACAGUUUAAAUGUCAACACUAAUUACUGCAUUAUGCAUUAUUUUAAGCAUUCAGCUGAUAUGCUUACCUAGUAAGACUGGAUUUGAAAUCACAUCCUUGGGGAAAAGGUUGCACAUUUUAAAGACACAAAUCAAGUUCUGUCAUAUUAGGUUUUUGUUAUCAAAAUGGGACUGUAGUGAAGAAGAGAGAAGAUCUAGGAGAGAGUGGAAGAUCAGCGGGGGCGGUAGAGAUGAAAGAUAUGAGGUGAUUCUAGAAAAGAAAAUUCUGUAGAGUUGGCAAAAAUUUCCCACAAAUUUCUAGAAGCUCUUCUCAACAGGAAUGUGGAAUCCUGGCCCAAAGAGAUGAGGUCACAUAAUCUGAAGGAGAUAACACUGUGCAUUUCAUCAGCUGGAAAGAAGGUGGCAAAGUGAGUCCCAGGCAUGCAGCAAAAUUAAUUUAUUGUUCUGGUGAUCUGAAACCCAGACAGUGAUCCAGGUUAAAGAGAGGAUAUCUUUUAUUCAGAAUGCAUGAUUACUUAAUUUCACAUCAUAAUAGCAAAGCACUAGGUGUCACAUCUUGGUCAGAUAAAAAUAAAACAGAUGCUUGAUGCCA